UGGGGAAUAUUGCACAAUGGGCGCAAGCCUGAUGCAGCGACGCCGCGUGAAGGAUGAAGGUCUUCGGAUUGUAAACUUCUAUCAGCAGGGAAGAAAAAAAUGACGGUACCUGACUAAGAAGCUCCGGCUAACUACGUGCCAGCAGCCGCGGUAAUACGUAGGGAGAGAGCGUUAUCCGGAUUUACUGGGUGUAAAGGGUGCGUAGGCGGCCUGGUAAGUUAGAAGUGAAAUUUUGGGGCUCAACCCCAAAGCUGCUUCUAAAACUGCUGGGCUAGGGCGCAGGAGAGGAAAGCGGAACUCCACGUGUAGCGGUGAAAUGCGUAGAGAUGUGGAGGAACACCAGUAGCGAAGGCGGCUUUCUGGACUGUAACUGACGCUGAGGCACGAAAGCGUGGGGAGCAAACAGG
rnacentral:rRNA from 2 species